rnacentral:lncRNA from 1 species
UGAGACUUGGCCCAGAAUAAACUCCAUUAACUUUUGAUGCAGAUCCAGAUGGGAAAGGAAAGGUCCUGAAAUGCUUUCACAUUCUUUAACAUUGCGUUUUUCAACAUUUUUCUUUAAUUUCUCAGGGAAUAAUUUGUGGAUCUUGAUGAAAAAAAUCUGAAAAAAAUCAAUUUUACAACCUGGCAUCCCAAAGGUGAUUUUAUUACCUAAUUACUGAUCUUUAAGGAUUCAGUAAAUGGUUGGUUUACCAUAAAUAAAGCCUCUAAAACCCCUGAGAAAAGCUCCUUCUAACCUCCACCUAGCCUGAUUCUUCCUAGGCUUCAGUUUCUCCUCCACUUGGAACAGCAGCGUACUGUGGCAUUAGUGUGCAUUGCACGUUAACACAGGACUUCUGUGACUGCUGUAGCACAUCUGUGUGUGUGAGGCCAGGUGAUGUGUGUGUGAACGUAGGUACCAGUGCAUUUGUAAUCCAGAGGUCUGCCAGAAGUGUAGGAACGAGAGGGAAUUACCAUCUGUUCGUCCUCUGCCAACAUCCAGCGCAGUACUAACCGUCUCCCUCAUGCAUAAUUACCCUCACACUCACUCCAUGCGGCUGAUUCUUCUUCAUGAGAUUGCCUCAGACGUUGCCUCGGCUCACUCUUAAAGCUUGAUUUAGCAGCAGAUUACAGAGUUGGAUUAACUCCGCCGGGAGUCAGGAAUCGCCUUCAAAAGCGGACCCCAGCAUCCUCGAGCCACCGGCAGCACAAACAGUGAGGGGAAGAGACUGUUUUUCUCACACAGCAUCAGAGUGGGAAAAAAAACACACACAUACUCAUUCACACACAUGCACGGGGAGAAAACGGAGGUGGACUGAGGCUCCAGCUGUAGCAUGUCCACUGGCCGCAGUCAGACAUGUAGGAGGAGGAGGUGCUCUGCUCGCCGUUCCAUGUCCGCUUCAGCCCUCUAAGCACCUCCCAUCCCCCCCGAACACUCGCUCCCUGGCUCUGCGGUUGCUGAGGGGCUGGCUGGAAUGACCCGGGAGAGCGGGAGACACAAGGAGAUGUGCUAGACGGGGGCUGCUUGCAGGGAGGACUCUCUGAUCCUUGAUCCCUCCUCUUCUCCAGGCUGGCAGAUACAAGGCAGACCUCUGAUCUGCCCCACAGAUGCAUGCCCAUAUAGGAGGGCAUGUCUGUGUAGACCGAGGGUCUUCAUCAAGCUUGGCCACAGUGAGGACCACCACAGAGACGUGCAGGUAAGAGCCACCACAGCUGGGGCUGCUCUGCUGGAUUUUCAUCUAGAUUGAUCUGCGCAGAUGUGCAGGGAUCAGCUAAUGUGUCGUCUGAGAUAUAUAU